rnacentral:rRNA from 1 species
CUGUGAAACAAGAUACAGACUAGCGGCGGACGGGUGAGUAACACGUGGGUAACCUGCCCAAGAGAUCGGGAUAACACCUGGAAACAGAUGCUAAUACCGGAUAACAACAGAUGAUGCCUAUCAACUGUUUAAAAGAUGGUUCUGCUAUCACUCUUGGAUGGACCUGCGGUGCAUUAGCUAGUUGGUAGGGUAACGGCCUACCAAGGCGAUGAUGCAUAGCCGAGUUGAGAGACUGAUCGGCCACAUUGGGACUGAGACACGGCCCAAACUCCUACGGGAGGCAGCAGUAGGGAAUCUUCCACAAUGGACGCAAGUCUGAUGGAGCAACGCCGCGUGAGUGAAGAAGGGUUUCGGCUCGUAAAGCUCUGUUGUUGGUGAAGAAGGACAGGGGGUAGUAACUGACCUUUGUUUGACGGU